rnacentral:rRNA from 1 species
UACGUAGGGUGCAAGCGUUGUCCGGAAUUAUUGGGCGUAAAGAGCUCGUAGGCGGUCUGUCGCGUCGGCUGUGAAAACCCGGAGCUCAACUCCGGGCCUGCAGUCGAUACGGGCAGACUGGAGUUCGGCAGGGGAGACUGGAAUUCCUGGUGUAGCGGUGAAAUGCGCAGAUAUCAGGAGGAACACCGGUGGCGAAGGCGGCUCUCUGGGCCGAUACUGACGCUGAGGAGCGAAAGCGUGGGGAGCAAACAGG